GCCAAAUAUCUAGCCCCAACAUGCCUCUGGCCUCAACUCAUUAUAUUUAUUAACUAAAACAUUCAUCAAAUCUAGUAGAGGUGAUCGAAAAAUUAAUCGGCGCAAUAUACCUAGUACCGCAAGGGAAAGACGAAAUAAAAGUGAAAACUUCAAGCGACAUAAAGCAGAGAUUCUACCUCGUACCUUUUGCAUCAUGGUCUAACUAGUCCAAUCAAGCAAAAAGACUUAAAGUUUGACACCCCGAAACUAAGCGAGCUACUUCAGGGCAGCCUAACGGGCGAAUCCGUCUCUGUCGCAAAAGAGUGGAAAGACCUUCAAGUAGUAGUGACAGGCCUAUCGAGCUUAGUGAUAGCUGGUUACUCAAGAAACGGACCUUAGUCCAACCUAAAGUUAAUUUAAUGUGACAAAAAUCUUUUCUAUAACUUUAGAGCAAUUCAAAUAAGGUACAGCCUAUUUGAAACAGGAUACAACCUCAACUAACGGGUUCUACACCUGAUACACCCCCGCCUAAGUGGGCCUAAAAGCAGCCACCUUUCAAAGAGCGUCAAAGCUUAAUUCUCUUUCACCCCAAUCCCAAAACCCUCCCCCAACCCUUUUACAGUAAUGAGUAAUUCUAUACCCCUAUAGAAGUUUUUAUGUUAGAACUAGUAACAAGAAGAUGACCCUUCUCUUAAAUGCAAGUGUAACCCAGAAAGGACACACCACUGGGAAUUAACACCCAUGAGCUACCAAUAGCAACGCUAUGAAAAACUCCUAUUUAUAGACAUGUUAACCUAACACAAGAGCAUUAAAAGAAAGAUUAAGAGAAAAAGAAGGAACUCGGCAAACAUUAACCUCGCCUGUUUACCAAAAACAUCGCCUCUCGUAUAAAUAUGAGAGGUCCAGCCUGCCCAGUGACUCUGUUCAACGGCCGCGGUAUCCUAACCGUGCAAAGGUAGCGUAAUCACUUGUCCUUUAAAUGAGGACUAGUAUGAACGGCACCACGAAGGUUACACUGUCUCCUUUUCCUAAUCAGUGAAACUGAUCUCCCCGUGAAGAAGCGGGGAUACACAUAUAAGACGAGAAGACCCUAUGGAGCUUUAAACGAAACAACAGCCGCCAUCUCAUUUAAAUUCCAGAGCAUCCACCCCAUAUUUUGGCGACAUGAUUGUUAGUUUUCGGUUGGGGUGACCGCGGAGAAUAAACCAACCUCCGCAUUGGAAGGGACCUCCCUCUAAGCAAAAAACCACAAUUUUACGCAUCAACAAAUUGACACCAAUUGACCCAAUAUUUUGAUCAACGAACCAAGUUACCCUAGGGAUAACAGCGCAAUCCAUUUUGAGAGCCCAUAUCGACAAAUGGGUUUACGACCUCGAUGUUGGAUCAGGGUACCCCAGUGGUGCAGCCGCUGCUAAAGGUUCGUUUGUUCAACGACUAAGACCCUACGUGA
rnacentral:rRNA from 1 species